CGGAACUUGUCAUGGAGAGAGCCUGAAGUGGGCUGUUUCUUGGCACAGACGAGCUGUUGCCACUCCGUCCCCGGGUUUCCUUCUGUGUGUUUAUGUAGCAACAGUGUCGAGGACCUGGAGCCCCUGGGGCGGGGCCGGGGGUGACAAUACAGUCGUGGCCGCUCCGUCAUAUGCCUUGAGGGGAGGGGUGCUGUCCUCCAGACCCACUGACCUUAGUGUGUCUGGGAGGCAGGCUGUGCCCCGAGGGACCCAGAGGAGCAUGUAAAGGAGGGUCCUCCCCCACCGUCUCCCCAGAUUUGGAGGCAAUUUGUGGGGAGCAGGAGGCUCUACCUGGGACAGGCUCUGCCUGGGACAGGCUCAGGAUUCCAAACACUUCAUGACAUGGAUGGAUGGCUGACUCUCCUGCAGAACACACCGCACGCCAGGUCCUGUUUCAGAAGUUUCCACGCGUGUUAGCUCACUCACUCCUGGGACAGCCACACUGGAGGCACCCUGAUGACCCUCCUGCUUUGCAGAUGGAGAGCCUGUAGUGUGGAGCACGUGGUCUGGUCACUGGCCCUGUGGCUCCUUCUGGCAUCCGAGCUCCUCCCUGUUUGUGGCUGCUGACCUGUCACAAUGGCUAAGAGGGGCCCCCAGAGAUAGGUUCCUGUCCUGAGCUCUGGAACCUCGGGAUGCAAUCGUAUUUGAAAAAGGGAUCCUUGCCAAGAGGGCAGCUCCAGGGGGCAGGGACUGGUCAGAUCAGCUCACUCCCCGUUCCCCAGAACCUGGAUGGGGCCUGGCCCACAGCGGAAGCUCGAGAUUUGUUCAAUAAAUGGAUGGAUGGAUGAGCGGAUGGAUGGAUGGGAGCUGCAGGAGACACGGGUUCCAUCCCUGGGUCAGGAGGACCCCCUGGAGGAGGGCACGGCACCCACUCCAGUGUUCUCGCCUGGGAGAUCCCAUGGACAGAGGGGCCUGGUGGGCCCCAGUCCAUGGGGUCGCGGACAGUCCCACACGACCGAGAGACUAAGCAUGUGUGCACACGUGGUCAGACCCUUGGGGGUGACUCACCGAAGACAGUCUCCUGCUUACUGAUGAGGAAACUGAGGCCGCAACGAGAGCCCCAGGCCCAGGCCUCACGGACCCUGAUGGCUAGUCCCGAUCCUGAGCUUGCCGGGGCCUCUGCCCCCUGUGAUGGCCAGGUUGGUGGGCCCGCUCGGCCAGCCCGCAGUCCCCGGUGACUCACACACUCAUCUUGUGUGAAGGCAUUCCAUAAGCGCAUUCACUUCUACCCCUUCCAAGUGACUGGGCGAGGCCCAUCCACCCUGGGGCAGGCCGUCUGCUUUAUGCCGUCGGCUCCACAAGCUAAGCUCAUCCAGGCGCCCCCACAGACGCACACAGAGUCGUGUUGACCGAACAGCCGGCCUCUGAUCAACUGACACGUGCGAGCAACCACCCCGCUCACAAGCGCGGACUUAGAGCCGUGGCCCCGGUUUGGGCCUCACGCUCCAGGCCUGGGCCCAGGCCCUUCACAGGGAAGAACGGCCACGCGGCUGCAACUCAGGCCCCCGCACCCUGGCGCUGCUCUGAUGGCGACGGGAUGCUGAGGCCCAGAGAGGGUAGCAGGCCCCCAGGUCACACAGCAGGCCCCGCGGCAGCGACUCCCGCCGUUAGCUCUCUGCCAGCUGGGCUGGGAGGGUCACCGGUCCCCAGUCCUUCCCUGGUCCCUGGGCCCCAGUGCAGCGUGGCUGCGUUACCAUCACAGGGGCCUCUGUUUUUGACCUCAGCAGCACCACACCUAACACUUUCUUUCAUCUUCUCAAUUGCCUCUCCCAGCAACCUGGGAGGCAGGGAUGAUCCCAUUUCACAGAUGGGGAGACUGAGGCACACAGGGUGGGAGGGAUUCACCCAGGGUCCCAGCAACCCAUGGGUACAGACCCGGCCUCGAUGGAGUCACAGUUCAGUCAUAUUUUCUGCCCCCUGCCCCCACCCCCGUCAGCUUCCUCCUCCUUCCUGAGUCCUGUGGGGAGAAAGGGGGUCUGGGGGUCUCCGUUUAAGGUGCCUCUGUGUCUGCAGGCGGCGUGUGUGUGUGAGUGUGUGUGCAUGUGUGUGUGUGCACACGUGUGCAUGCCCGUGUGAUCAGGGCAGGGACGGAAUUACUCCUCUAAGCCCUGAGCCCACCGUGAAUCCGUAGCUGGUUGUUUUGACCCAAACUUGAACUCCACACACUUGCACACCACGCCAUGGUUCACUGGUGGCCUUGGUUUCAAAGACGUUUCCUGACUGAACAAAAGCAAAAAGCCAACAAACAAACUUGAAAGAGCAGAGAGGAGGCCAAGGGCAGCCGUGGGGGUGCAGGACCAGAUCAGAAGCAGAUGGUCCAGAGCUGCACUCAGGGUGCUGAGUGGGAGCUGGGGGCAGGUCCGGGAGGUGAGCGUGGGGCGCCUGCCUUGGCCUGUGGAUGCCCUCCGUCCAGGCGGAUCCAGGGUCCUCCUGGGCCUGGCACAGAAGCCAGAGCCCGGCCCUCCCCAUAAGCCAACUCAACCUCCCGACCCCCCAGCAGCCCUGUGGAGGGGUCCAGGCCCUCCUGUAGCGACAGGAGGGGGAGCAGCCCCCAGGGCUGAGCUGGGAUCUGACCCGGCACUGACUCCAGGCUGGGCACCGCCCCUCACUGCCCACCCUGACCCCGGGCAUGUCCUGGCUGCUCCUGCCCUCCUGCACGCGCCUUCACUCAGCCUUCUCGCUCCGAUAGAGAGACUGAGACGCCUUCCUCUGCCUCCCUUGUCUCCGUCGAGCCCCCAGGACGAGGGGGAUGCUGACCGCCCCGGGGGGCCCUGUGAAGGGUCAGGACGAGAAUGUAGGCCGGGUGCGGAGUGAGGCCCACACGAGGGUGGCUGCUGGGCUCACGCUGCCCGUGUCGGUCCCCCUGCGCGAGGGGCGGGGAG
ensembl:lncRNA